GGUCGGGGACAACAGUUGGAAACGACUGCUAAUACCGGAUGAGCCGAAUAGGUAAAAGAUUUAUCGCCUAGAGAGGGGCUCGCGUCUGAUUAGCUAGAUGGUGAGGUAAAGGCUUACCAUGGCGACGAUCAGUAGCUGGUCUGAGAGGAUGAGCAGCCACACUGGGACUGAGACACGGCCCAGACUCCUACGGGAGGCAGCAGUGGGGAAUUUUCCGCAAUGGGCGAAAGCCUGACGGAGCAAUACCGCGUGAGGGAGGAAGGCUCUUGGGUUGUAAACCUCAAAACUUAGGGAAGAAAAAAAUGACGGUACCUAAUGUAAGCAUCGGCUAACUCCGUGCCAGCAGCCGCGGUAAUACGGAGGAUGCAAGCGUUAUCCGGAAUCAUUGGGCGUAAAGAGUCCGUAGGUGGCACUUCAAGUCUGCUUUCAAAGACCGAAGCUCAACUUCGGAAAGGGAGUGGAAACUGAAGAGCUAGAGUAUAGUAGGGGUAGAGGGAAUUCCUAGUGUAGCGGUGAAAUGCGUAGAGAUUAGGAAGAACACCAGUGGCGAAGGCGCUCUACUGGGCAUAUACUGACACUGAGGGACGAAAGCUAGGGGAGCGAAAGGGAUUAGAUACCCCUGUAGUCCUAGCGGUAAACGAUGGAUACUAGGCGUAGUGCUGUUAGAAGGACUGUGCCGAAGCUAACGCGUUAAGUAUCCCGCCUGGGGAGUACGCACGCAAGUGUGAAACUCAAAGGAAUUGACGGGGACCCGCACAAGCGGUGGAGUAUGUGGUUUAAUUCGAUGCAACGCGAAGAACCUUACCAAGGCUUGACAUCCUGCGAAUCUUGGAGAAAUCUGAGAGUGCCUAAGGGAACGCAGAGACAGGUGGUGCAUGGCUGUCGUCAGCUCGUGUCGUGAGAUGUUGGGUUAAGUCCCGCAACGAGCGCAACCCUCGUCCUUAGUUGCCAGCAUUAAGUUGGGGACUCUAGGGAGACCGCCGGGGAGAACUCGGAGGAAGGUGGGGAUGACGUCAAGUCAGCAUGCCCCUUACGUCUUGGGCUACACACGUACUACAAUGGUUGGGACAAAGGGGAGCGAAACCGCGAGGUGGAGCGAAUCUCAUCAAACCCAGCCACAGUUCAGAUUGCAGGCUGAAACUCGCCUGCAUGAAGGAGGAAUCGCUAGUAAUCGCAGGUCAGCAUACUGCGGUGAAUCCGUUCCCGGGUCUUGUACACACCGCCCGUCACA
rnacentral:rRNA from 1 species